GAUGAACGCUAGCGGCAGGCUUAAUACAUGCAAGUCGAGGGGCAGCAGCUUUAUAGCAAUAUAGAGGCUGGCGACCGGCAAACGGGUGCGGAACACGUACACAACCUUCCUUUAAGAGGGGGAUAGCCCAUAGAAAUGUGGAUUAAUACCCCGUAACAUAUCGGUGUGGCAUCACACUGUUAUUAUAGUUUCGACGCUUGAAGAUGGGUGUGCGGAUGAUUAGGUAGUUGGCGAGGUAAAGGCCCACCAAGCCUUCGAUCAGUAGCUGAUGUGAGAGCAUGAUCAGCCACACGGGCACUGAGACACGGGCCCGACUCCUACGGGAGGCAGCAGUAAGGAAUAUUGGUCAAUGGACGCAAGUCUGAACCAGCCAUGCCGCGUAAAGGAUGAAGGUCCUCUGGAUUGUAAACUUCUUUUAUAGGGGGCGAAAAAAGGGAAUUCUUUCUCACUUGACAGUACCCUAUGAAUAAGCACCGGCUAACUCCGUGCCAGCCGCCGCAGUAA
rnacentral:rRNA from 1 species